GUGGCAGACGUGAUGCUGUGCAACUUCGGGGCCUAGGUGUCAAGAGACCUUGCAGCUUCCAUCUUUGUCCUUUUGGAAAUUGACUCCACCUACAGAUAAGAGGAGCCUCAUCAACUAGCGUGACCUUAGGCAAGCCACCAGCUUGGCUCACCCCAAGCCACCAGCACCUUGAUUCCUCCCCUCUUGGCUCUCACCCAGGCUCUCUUUGGGACCAGAGUUUCCUUCCAGAGAGAGCAGCUGUCAGCCCCGACAGCAUCUUCCUGGACUAACCAUCCAGCAGAGAGAAAGGUAGAAAGAGGACAAAAGAGGGGAGCACAGUUUCUACAACCUGUGAUUGUUUCCCACCUGCCCACCUCCUUGGGAUGUUCUGGCUCCUGGAAACCGUCUUAGGUCCAGGAUAAUGUGAAAUUCAGCCCCUCUGGGCCAUGAGCAUCUAGUCUGUGCUGCCCCAGAAGCCCCUGAAAUACGCCAAGUUGUGUCUACCACGCAUUUAUCCAAGUCUCCUGGAGAUGAGGCUCAGGACCCCACCUCAGCCCCCUAAUCUGCCAAGGUUGUCAGGGGUGUCCCCCAGAACAACCCAUCAGCCUUAGUCACACCAUCUGCAGCAGGUGAUUCUGUCUUCACUGUGCCAACAAGAUGGUCCAAGCACAUUAUCCAUGGCCGGAAGCACCGAAGUAUCAGACCAACUUGCAAAUAUG
rnacentral:lncRNA from 10 species